AACGGCCAUAGCACGUUUACAUAUCGGUUCCCGUACGAUCACCGAAGUUAAGCAACUUUGAGCCUGGUCAGUACCUAGAUGGGUGACCGCCU